UCGAGAAUUUUUCUCAAUGGGCGAAACCCUGAAGGAGCGACGCCGCGUGGAGGAUGAAGGUCUUCGGAUUGUAAACUCCUGUCAUGAGGGAGCAAAGCACAGCGUUAACUGCGAAGGUGUGUGAUAGUACCUCAAGAGGAAGGGACGGCUAACUCUGUGCCAGCAGCCGCGGUAAUACAGAGGUCCCGAGCGUUGUUCGGAUUCAUUGGGCGUAAAGGGUGCGUAGGCGGUUAGGUAAGUCAGAUGUGAAAUUCCAGGGCUCAACCUUGGAACUGCAUUUGAUACUGCCUGACUAGAGUACUGGAGAGGAGACUGGAAUUCACGGUGUAGCAGUGAAAUGCGUAGAUAUCGUGAGGAAGGCCAGUGGCGAAGGCGAGUCUCUGGACAGUUACUGACGCUGAGGCACGAAGGCUAGGGGAGCAAACGGGAUUAGAUACCCCGGUAGUCC
rnacentral:rRNA from 1 species